CUAAAAUACCAGUCAGUGCUCAUGAAUUCAUCUUCCCUCCAGGAUCAUAUUCCACAAGAUUCUUCUAAGUAUCUCUCUUACAAGAUCAGAUAAUGGUUGAGGUUGUAAGGGACCUCUGGAUGUCACCUUAUCACUCCCUUAAUCAAGCAUGGUCCCAUAGAGUGGGUUGACCAGGACAAUGUCCAGGCACCUUUUGAAGAUCUCCAAGGAGGGAGACUCCUCAGCCUCUCCAGGCAACCUGUGCCAGGGCUCAGUCACCUGCACAGUAAAAAACUGUUUCUUGAUGUUCAGACAGAACCUUCCUGUGUUCCAGGUUGUGCCUUUUGCCUCUUGACCUGUCGCUAGACACUACAGAAAAGAGCCUGGUUCUCUCCUUUUUGCACCCUCCCUUCAGGUAUUUUGUACAUGUCACCCCUAAGCCUUCUCUUCUUCAGGCUAACCAGUGCCAGAUCUUUCAACCUUUCCUCAUACAAGGUGCUCUAGUCCAUUAAUCAUUUUAGUGACCCUCAGUGGAUUUUCUCUAGUAGCUUCAUCUCUCUCUUGUAGGAUCCCAGAACUGGAUGCAAUACUCCACAUGUGGUCUUACCAGUGCUGACCACAGGAGAAGGAUCACCUCCCUUGACCUGCCAGCAACUUUAUUCCUAAUGCAGCCCAUGAUACUAUUAACCUUGUUUGUUGUUGUUGUUGAGAGGACACGUUUUUGGCUCACGUUAAACCUGGCACCCACCAGGACCCCCAAGUAUUUUUUUCUCCACAUUUUCCAUAGUCUUACUUGAUUUUAUAUUCAUCAGGAUGGACCUCUCUCGAGCUUAGAUGUGGUGAUCCUUAAAUCUUAACCAUCAUUUUUAGGUCUCUCUUCCCUUUAUGGCCUUAUCAAAUGAAACUCUUCCAAGCAGAUACAUGAAGAUGUUAAAGUCUGCCUUCCUGAAGUCCAGUGUUUUGAGCUUGCUUUUUAGACUCCUUCCUCCCCUCAGGAUCCUGAACUCCACCACCUCAUGGGCACUUCAGCCAAGGUUUCCUUUUACUUUCACAUCCCCAAUGAAUGCCUCAUUGUUGGUGAGCAUGAGAUUCAGUAAAACACCUCUCCUCAGUGGCUCCUCUACCAUUUGUGAAGGAAUUUGUCAUUGACACACUCCAGGAACCUCCUGCAUUUCCGAUGUCUUGUUGUGUUAUCCAGGAUCAGGGCCUGUGAACAUACUCUAAUCUGUGUGUAGAGGGCCUUGCCUGUUAAUUCUUCUUGGUCAGGUGACCUGCAGCAGACACCCACUACAAUAUCACCCUUACAUGUCUUCACUUUAGCCCUCACAUGUAAGCUCUCAGCUGGCUCACCAUCCAUCCCCAGGCAAAGCUCCAUAUAUCCCAGCAGUUCUCACAUAAGGGGCAACUCCCCCUCUUUGUCUUCCUGGUCCGUCUUUUCUAAAGAACCUGUAUCUCUCCAUGGCAACAUUCCUGUCAUGGGAACCAUCCUACCAUGUCUCCAUGAUCCCAACAAAAUGGCAGCCCUGCAACUGCACACAGGUUUAACACACUGCAUUCAUUCCCCACAUUGCAUGCUUUACUGUAUGUGAACUUCAGAGCAUUACAUGGCAACAUUCAUUGUAUCAUGUCCUCCAACUUAGAACGCUUCAGCUACCUUCACAGUAAUGAGAUGAAACGCAUGCUUAAUUUAUACUGGUGUUGCUGAAUCAAUGCUUUUGACCUAGAAUUGUUUUACAUUUUUAUUGUCUUUUAUCUUCACCCAUAAACAUCUUUACUUCAAAACUGUUGUUAACCUGUUCUUGCAUUCCUUUCCCAUGCAAAGGUGCUUAAGCUUAGGUAGAGCGCAGAAAAGAAGAACCCAUUCUAAUGCCAAGACAACUUGAAAAGUGUCUCUUUUAAAAGAAUGAAACUUCUAGGAAGGAUUUUGAAGUAUUUUCCUUCUUCCUAACUGGACAAUUUCCUUAAGUCUUGUCUCCAAAAUCUCAGCAUCAGAUUACCUUGCAGUCCUUGAUAUUCUGGAUAUCGUGAACCUUGACUGUGCAUGGAAAUCUUCUCCAUGACUAUUAGGAGAACAUUUUGUUUCUUACGGACUUUAGAGACUGUCAUGGAAAAGAAGACAGAAGGCAGCCAAAAGGUCACCAGAAUAUUUCCACUCAUAAUGGAAAAAU